AAGAGUUUGAUCAUGGCUCAGAUUGAACGCUGGUGGCAGGCCUAACACAUGCAAGUCGAGCGGCAUCGAGUGAUCGCAGUUUACUGAGUUCAUGUCGGCGAGCGGCGGACGGGUGAGUAAAGUCUGGGAAUCUGGCCGAAGGAGGGGGAUAACUGCUGGAAACGGCAGCUAAUACCGCAUGAAGUCGCGAGACCAAAGUGGGGGACCUUCGGGCCUCACGCCUUCGGAUGAGCCCAGAUGAGAUUAGCUGGUAGGUAAGGUAAAGGCUUACCUAGGCGACGAUCUCUAGCGGGUCUGAGAGGAUAGCCCGCCACACUGGAACUGAGACACGGUCCAGACUCCUACGGGAGGCAGCAGUGGGGAAUAUUGCACAAUGGGCGAAAGCCUGAUGCAGCCAUGCCACGUGUGUGAAGAAGGCCUUCGGGUUGUAAAGCACUUUCAGCGAGGAGGAAGCGAUAAAUGCGAA
rnacentral:rRNA from 1 species